AGUAGCAGCUGACAAAGCCACCAGCUCUGAAUACUCAAAUUUUGAAUCCUCAAGGCGUGUACAUUCACCAUCCUCACCUUUCAUGGGACGACAAAGCGGUCUCAUGGAGCAACAGCCAUCUUUUCGGCCAAGACUUUGCUUUGCAUGUGCCGUCAAAUCCUAUCAGUGGACAACGCCAAUCGCAUCAUAUCAAAGGUCAACCCUAACGAAUAACAGCAUGCACUGUACAUGGACUGCAAACAACAACACAUGGAAAUCAAAUUCUUGGCCGAAAAGAUGGCUGUUGCUCCCUGAGACCGCUUUGUCGUCCCAUGAAAGGUGAGGACGGUGAAUGUACACGCCUUGAGGAUUCAAAAUUUGAGUAUUCAGAGCUGGUGGCUUUGUCAGCUGCUACA